rnacentral:lncRNA from 1 species
CCAUUACAGACCACAAACUCCAUUGUUCCCUAUUCUUUGCCAGCCAAAUUCAUCACCGUGGUGAGCUCCCGGCUCGAUUCCUCGCAGCCAUGGCACCUACUCGACGUCCCGCAUCCGUUUUGCCCCUUCCCGAGCUCUCUCCCUCACCGUGCGCAGCUCCCCACGGUGGGCACCUCCAUCCGCCGGUUUGGUACCUCUAGGAGGGCGCCGUUCCUCUCCUCGCUGCCUACCUACCCCUGCUGGUGAGCCUCUGGUCCCAAGGUGCCGCCCCUCUCCCCCCCCCCAUGCCGCCCCUUCUCUUUCCUCCACCUUCGGUCCAAGGGCAUGGCCGGCCUAGACGUUUUUGUACCGUGUGUGUGAUCUGUUGUGCGUGGGGGGUCUCAUUGGAGAAGAAGAAGGAAGUGUAGGGGGUUAUGGGUGAAAUCCAGGGACUUUUACGCGAUUAACCCGUAGACAUGGGGGAUAGAUUGAAAGUUUGCCUCAGUUUUCUUUAUUUUCCUAGAUCUAAAAAGGCUACAACUUUGGAAAUUCUUAGUAAAUUGUAGAAAAAUCAUAAAAUAGAAAAUGAAGAUGUUUUGGAAUCCUUGUGAGAAUAACUAUUCAGUAGAGUUAUAAUAUGAUAUGUGUUAGUAGAAAUUUUCUGAUGUUUUUAUUUAUCCUUGCAAAGUGCUUUUAGAAAUCCUUUUAAGUUGGUCGGAUGCAUAUUUUGAGUUAUAGAAGUCCAAAAUUUGUGAUUCUAGUUGUGUUAGUCUUGUGAUGAUACCCUAUAGCUAAGAAAAAUAUUAAACAUUCUAGUUGGGUACUGUUUUUAUCAUGUUUUGAUUUAAUCUUGAUAAAUAGGCAAUUUUUAGCUUGUUUUGCUUGUCAUUUUCAUAUCUAAAGUUGUGGUGCUCCAAUUGCUGUGAAAUUUUUAUGUUAGGCUACUGAUUCUAUAUGUGUGCUGUGGUAAAAAUGUCAUAUUCAUUAAUGCAGUAAAAUUGACUUAUUGAUUUAACUUGUUUAUUGCUUCAUAAAUGGUUUUAAAUAAGUUAUAACUUAUAUGUAUGUGUAAAAAAGGGAAAUGUGGUUCCACUACCUUGUAUGAUGUUGUUCUAUCAUAAUAACAUAUUAUAUGGCUAUGUGUUUAUAGAAAAUGAUGAUCUUUAGAAUUAUCUUGCUUUUACAUGCUUUCUUGCAAGAGCAAUUUAUCUUUUUCAUAGCAAUUAAAUUAUAAAACCUGAGCAUGUGAAAUUUGUACAGUAGCCUUGUUUUGAUAACAUCUAUCAUCCAUAAAAAUCUUAGGUCCAAAUGAGAUGUUUGACACAUCACCUAUAAUUAAUAUAUAUGUUUACUAUAUAAUUGGAUAAUGAAAGUUUGCUAGUAGAUGCAUAUACUUAAGUCAUGUGAAGCUUUUAAUAGUUGUUUUUAAGAGGUACAUAUGAUGCUAAGUUAUGAUAAGCAGUGGUUAAGCUUUGAAUAUAACUCAUAUGUAUGCUCUCAUGUUAAUAUAACAACUGCUUAUAUAAGUUCUUCACCUUUGCUUUAAUUCUUGCUUAAGGUUUUUAGGGUGUUCCAUGUUACCUAAAACUAAUGCUAAUUAACUAUAUCCAUAGUAGUUGUGAGCUAUGUGUUUAACUUAUGCAUGUGUUACCUUGUUAAAAAAACUAAAUGAAGAACCUUGUUGUAUGUGUGCUGAAAUGGCUGCUAGUGCAGUUCUGUUGUGGCAAUAUUUUCGUGAUGCAAAAUGAUAUUUUCUGUAAAUAUGGUGAAUACAAAAGUUGUAGGUAACUUCAUAAUAUAUCUUGUGUUAAAUUUUCAUGACCAUAAGCCUGAUGGUUUAGGAGCGAUAGAUUUUAUAAGUUCAUUGUCAGGUUUUGCAUGCUCUCUGUACAGGUCCAAAUGAUUGUGUUGUUUGACUUAGCUAAGCUUUGAAUCAUAUCUUGGAGAUAAUAUAAUAAGUGUAGUGAUUUUCAUGAGCCUUCAAAAUUGUUAAAGGUCACCCCUUUUGGCAGUCUAAAUCUCCAGUUAUGAGCUUGUGAAGUGGAAUGAUAGAAUCUGUCCUAAUCUAGACAGAGAUAUCUUCUUUGUGAUGUUUGACCUAGUUAACUUUGGAUUUAGCUUGUGAUGUUUAUAACAAAGUUGUGCAUGGUUUGUUAAUCUUUCUAAAAAUUCUAGAACCACCUUGUUGUGAAAACUAGAACUCAACUUAUUGCUAUCUGAAGUUGCAUGUCAGUUUUCUGUCCUUGUUUGUACAGAUCUGCUUAUUGGUGUGUUUUCACCUUGUUAUUUGUUGAAUCAGCUUUUGGUGUUGAUAAAAAAGUUUUAGAUAAUUUCCUUAAAUUUACAGAAAGUCUAUGGUCACCUUUGUCAGAUGGUUAUAUCUCUAGUUAUAGCUAAAACGGGUGACUACUUUGCUGCUGUCCAGAUUCUGUGCAUGUGCUUAAGUUAUUAGCUUUAACUUGAUGUUGCUUUGUGUGCUGGCUCGUUAGCUCAUAUCACUAUUACAGUUAAAUUGAUCUACCUGAGGAUCUUAUAAAUGUGUUAUAUAAUAUUGGUCAAGCACUUAACUAAUAAAUGGUCAUGUAUGCAUGUUGCUACAAAAUAAUCUUGCUGCAUAGCUUGCUAGAACCUUAGUGAUGUUGGUGUGUGACUUGCUUGUGCAUGAGUAGUUUAAAAACAAAUAUAAUAUACUUUGAUCACCUUCAACUUACUACUUGUGUGAUGCUCUUAUGUAUGCCAUGUUGAUAAGCACCAUCACCCUAGUUCUUGUAUGAUGCUAGGCUUAAUUAGCUCUUGAUUGUUAAUUGCUUGCAAUAGCUUGACUUAAGUUCACUUGUAUGCCAUGCCUAGUGUACUUGCUAUCCCUCUAUGAUAGGUUGUGUAGUUUAUAGUUAAAUAACUCUAAGUGCCUAUGUCUUCCAUGAUCUUAUAUUUGCCUUGAAUGCUUUUUGUGUGAUGCAUCUCAUUUUACCGUUCUUCAUAUUCAUGUUCUUGCAUCUUGCAUCUCAUCUAGACACGCUAGAUAAACCACGUGAAGGAUGUGAUGAUGGAACCGAACCCGAAGACAGUGUAUGGUGGACCUAUCCCGAAGAUGGAAGGACUAAGCAAGUGCCGAGAUAGGAGAUGCUCACUAAGCGAGUGUCGUCUAACAAACACUAACCUAGUGUGGAUUUCAGGCAAGCCCCGGAGCAUAUCCUAGUUUUCUAAACUUCUGCAAUGAUUUAUGUUGAUAAUGAUUGUGCAUUUAAGUUACUAGGCGUUGUCUGAAACGUUAGAUGCAUGAACUUAGUACCCUUUUGAUCUGAACACUAGCAUGAUAAGUCAUGUAGAUGCAAUGCUUAAUAGGACACGGUAAAAUUCGAGUGAUUUCCUGUCACUCGCGAGUUAUAGGAGUUGUUUGUUUACCUAUGUUACAACCAUAAGGACGACUAGCGGGGCAGGGUCUUGUGAACUGUUUUGGUGGUCGGUGGAUUGUCCCAUUUGUCUAAAUGAAAAUGGACUAAGGUUGAAACGUGUCGGUGUUUGUGAUCAAGUGUUUGAAAGUACUAAUCUCAUACCUAGUAUGGGAUGGGGAAGUCUAGUACCUGAUUGAACUGGGGCAUGGCUUAUACUCCUGUUGUCCCUGGAACAAGGUUCGUAUGGUGCAUCAUGUGGGUGCAAGUGCGGUCACAGUACGGCAAGAGGCCGGGACUGUGGAGCAUUGCAUGCCAAGGGAAGUUUGGCCCUGACACGUGCAUGGGGAUCGAUGGGGAUGGCUGACAAGUAAAGCGACCCUUCGUGGUGCACGGAUGUCGUGGGAUUAGGUUCGCCAUGCAUGGUUAAAUUCGAAUCGAUUCAUCUGCCUCUCAUAGUUUGGGACUGCUUGAUCGCUAUUCCGCACUGAGUAAAGAUGGAAUAUGAUGAUGUUAAUCUUGAUACUUGUCUUUUAAAUCGCUUGGAAACAAUGCUUGCUUAGUAUAAGCUGCUAAUUUAGACUGGUUAAUGAACUUAGAAUCUAAGCUAAAAUAUUGAAAGUAAGGAUCAACUUUAGUCGCUUUUGGCAAAAAUAAACCCACCGUCAAAAAGCCUUGCAUGUCUAGGAGUCGAUGGAGUAGUAACCACCUAACGGGUAAGCCUUGUUGAGUAUUAGUAUACUCAGCCUUGCUUGUGGCUUUUUUUUUCAGGUGUGGUUGCUGGUGUUGUCUUGUUUGGGACCCGUCCUCGAUCGGCAAGGAUAGGAAUCAUUGAUAUCAUGGUCGGCUUCACCAUGGUAUUGUGUAUCGCCAUGUAACUUCCGCUUGUUUUAUUUCUUCAUUGUUUACAACCUUGCAAGCUCUGCCUGAAUUUCAAAAACUCUAAUGUAAUAAAAUGUUGAACUAUGUUAAUAUGAUGAGAAUGUUGUAAUCUCUGUAUCCACUCAUGUUCGUGUGAGCAAUGCUUCUCGAUC